rnacentral:lncRNA from 1 species
GGGGCCGCGGCGUACUACGUGUAUAGUGAGCUCCCGCGACUGGACGGGCGCGGCCCCGGCGACGCGGGAGGCGGAGGCGGUGCCGCAGUGUGGUAAGACGUUAUCCGCCUUGGCGGAGGUUGAGUCGCUGGCUUCCUACAGCGCCGUCUUUUUCCCUCAGCGUCCGCUUGGGGGUCCCCGAACGUUGUAGCGCGUGUUGGCUCCGCAUAGUAGCGCUCUUGUAGGUUUCUAGUUCUCGCCUCGCCGUGGCCGGGAACUGGGGACCCGUGACGAUUCGCGCCUGCGGGGGAGCUGUUAACCCGACUAGUUUCGGGGCGUUGCUCCGGGUCCCCUAGUUAUUCGGCACACAGCUCUUGUUAACAUUGUGGAAGCUGUUGACUUCGGAGGGUGUACCCGGCUGCGCCAGGUAGAGGAUGGACAGGCCUGAGCUGUGGGGUCACGAGUAGUUGAGUUGGGGGCCGUCCUUUGAGGUCGGAGGCAGACGGAACCCCUCCAGCUGUAGGCCUAUUUUUGAUUAAACGAAUAAAGGAGAAAAUGUUUAAUUAUAGGGCAUUUAUCCUUACUGACUGCCAGUUAGCAACAGUGAUACUCCUCCCCAGCCCUUUCGACUAAGGACUUAAAUAUCGUUGGAGUCAGUGUUCUGUUGGAAGAUGUUUCUGCAUCAAUUUUUUAACAAAAUUAAUUUAUUUUAUUUAUUUAUUUUUGGCUACGUUGGGUCUUCGUUGUUGCAUCCGGGCUUUCUCUAGUUGCGGCGAGCGGGGGCAACUCUUCGUUGCGGUGCGCGGGCUUCUCAUUUCGGUGGCUUCUCUUGUUGCGGAGCACGGGCUCUAGGUGCGUGGCUUCAGUAGUUGUGGCACUCAGGCUCAGUAGCUGUGGCUCUUGGGCUCUAGAGUGCAGGCGCAGUAGUUGUGGUGCCCAGGCUUAGUUGCUCCGCGGCAUAUGGGAUCUUCCCAGAGCAGGGCUUGAGCCCGUGUCCCCUGCAUUGGCAGGUGGAUUCUUAACCACCGUGCCACCAGCGAAGCCCCGCAUCGCAGUUCUGAUUCAUCAACCAACAGUCAGCUCAUCAAGGAUGGAUUCGGCUCUAGGGUUUACUUUAAAAUAUUUUUGUGUUGUUGUUAAGCCUCUCGUUUUGCUUUAGAUUUAAGUGAAAAUUCACAGCUGUUAUGAGCAAAGAGCACAACUUAAAGUUGACAUGACAUUUAAAAAAAUACUUUAAAAUCUGUAUUAAUGUAAUCAUUUAGAAAGAUCCAUUCACUUCAGUUUAUCAGGCUGGGACGUAAGAGCAGUGUUUUUAAUAUUUUGGACAAGAAUCCUUUUUCGAUUGGCUCGGUAAUGCGCUUUACAGAAUAAAAGCAAACCACCAAGAGGUAUAUUUUGCCUAGUUUUUGAAGAAUGCUAACAAAAUCGGUUGAGGCACCCCAAAAUCAUCAAAAGUAAAAUGAUAAUCUGGUUUCUGAUUUGUAGAUCUAGAAAUGUUGAAUCUUUACUCACAAUUUAGAAUAAUUUGAGACUUGUUGAAAAAGAAGGAAAAUUCAUUUUUAUCUUAUCUCUCUGACUAAAUAAGAUGACUUAGUAUUUUACUAUAUGUGAUCAGUCUGUUUUCGUUUUAAUAAUACACACUUCCCUAUUAUAAUAAUGAAAAAAAGUGGGUCUUAUUAACAAUACUAUUUGCUUAUUCAGAAUGCAUAAGCCUAUCAAUUUAGUCAAGUAAAACAUCCUAAUUUUUUUUGCCAGGGAAUGGGGGCGGGGAGAGUCAUACCCACGGUAGGUUAUGACAAAAUGUAAUACAGAUAUUUGUUAAAUUGAGCUGAAAUGGUCACUUUCUAUCCACUUAUGCAUCCGCUUUAAUUAAGUUUAGCAAAUAAAUUAUUAAAGAAAACUUGCCACACUUAUGCUUUGUUAUAAGCAGAAGUUGAAGUUUUAUUACAAUCUUGCUGUAAGGAAAAAGACCUCUGAUAAGUCAAAUAAAAGAUACAGUCUUGGUAGGGACAUUUUAUGGGAAAAGAAAAUGGUUAGAUAAUUAUCAUUAAAGUAGAUAACAGAAAGAAAGGAAUUUGGGGGACAUUAGACUCUUAACUAAUAGUCAAUUGCUUAGGUGAGUGGAUGGUUUUCCAGAGCAAAUCUUAAUUCUAUUAAAGUUUAUUGGAAGGUUGCUUAGGCUUUUUUUUCAGGAAUGUUCAUUUCAUCGCAAGAGAGGAGUUGUGAAUUACAGUCAUCCAAAAAAACAUCUGUACCGGCCAGGUUUGGGACAAUUUUUUAAAAACCAUUAUUACAUCUUCUAUAACUACAAAUGAAGUCUGAAAUUUUCAAAACGAUUCAGGUCUUUAUAAACAUAUACUUGACACAAGGCACUUUUUAAAAGGUCCUGUUUUACAGGUUGUAGUAAACAAAAAAAUAGGUAACACAAGAUAUUCUCCCCCACCUUGUCCCACCUUCUCCCAUCCUCUCACCAAGGUCCUGAUAUUUCCCAUCAGGAGCUGCUCCUGAAGGAUAGAGUGAGGACUGGCUUCAGUGAGAUUCCCUUUACCCUGGGGUAGGUUGGAUUUCAAAGCAAUAUCUGAACAAAGAAUAUAGGCCCUGGCACAACUCUUGACUGUGGCUCAGCCUCCUUCUGUUUUUAGGCAACUGUGCAUCAUUAGAGCUCCUUCAAAUCUUAUUUUUUGUUUAAUUAGGCACUAUGUUAAAACAAUGAAAAAAAGUGCUGUUGUGUUUUGUUUUUUUAGUGGGAGCUAUAUAUUUCUAAGCUGUGACGAAUAUUUACUGUUAGAGGAAAGAGAAUACAUCUUUUGAGGAAAAUUUGUAAAGCAAAUUUUGGGUUAGUGAUUUAAAUUUUAUAUUAGUUUAAUUUGAUUAAAUCAUACCAUCCUAGAGAUCAUGUUUUCUGUGUCUCUACCCUGUGUUUUGUGAGUACUGUGUAUGUGUGGCUCUGCAGUGUCAGCAGGACAGAAUUAAGAUGUCAAAACCUUUAAGUUGAAAUAGCAAUGUCACUUUUCAUAUUAAAAUCAGCUUCAAUGUCAUUUCGUCCAUUAAUGUCUUAAAAGCAUUCUUCCUCUCUUCUCCCCCACCUAUCACAUGUCCAGGUUAAAAGCCUUAGGGUAAGGGAAUGGUUUCAGUGGCAGAGAUACAAAACAGAUUCAAAAAUACUACCAAUAAUGAAAAAUCUGGUAUCUGAGCCUACAUAGUCUGUUUUCCUUCUUUCCUCCCAUACCUCGUUGCUCAUACUGCUACCCCCCAACCAAAACACAUACACACAACACACACAGAAUGUCGUGAAUUGCAGAAUCAAAGUUCAUGAUUUCUGUUACACUGUGUAUCUGAAUCUGUGAAUAUGCCUGAAGCAUCAGGCAAACUGGGCGUCAUGGAUCCCUAACCCUUAACCUUGGAAAGUACAUGAAGGCUUUCCAGGGGGUUAUGUAAAUGAUAGUUUAAGGGUAUUAAUUUUCACGCUGUUUACUUGCAUGUUUCUUUCCUAAAAUCAAUCUGCCUCAGAGUCUGCCUAAACCCUGGGCAGCUUUCCCCUUUCCUCUUUUGUGAUUGUCCCUCUCCCACUCUACAAUUAAAGCAAUACCUUUAAUCUGACCUAAGUCUUGUUAGAAAGUAAGUGAUUCUAAUAACUGGGUAGCUAAUUGUUUCACACAAGAGUAGUAAUUUCCAGUGGCUUUUGAAAAUGCUUCAGAAGAACUCAAUUGAGUUGUCAGCUGAUCAUUAAAAAUAAUUUUAUGACAUACCCCAUGUGAUUUUUGAUACAUAAUUUAGUAGUUCAGAAGAAUAAUUAUUGAUAUAACCAGAAAUCCUUCUGCUCCCAAAUAUUUGGAAUGGAAGAACACAAAAUGUAAGAAUAGGAUCAGCUUGAACCCUGUUUCUUCCUAACAACAAAUAAUAUUCAUUCUGAUACACAACCUAAAUGGGGGGAGAAGGUGCUAUCCAUUUCUGUAUGAGAUGCAUUUCCAAUAAAACUGACUUAGAGGGCUUCCCUGGUGGCGCAGUGGUUGAGAGUCUGCCUGCCAAUGCAGGGGACAUGGGUUCAAGCCCUGGUCUGGGAAGAUCCCACGUGCCACGGAGCAGCUGGGCCCGUGAGCUACAAAUACUGAGCUCUGCGCGUAUGGAGCCUGUGCUCUGCAGCAAGAGAGGCCGCGACAGUGAGAGGCCCGCGCACCGCGAUGAAGAGUGGCCCCCGCUUGCCACAACUAGAGAAAGCCCUCGCACAGAAACGAAGACCCAACACAGCC